GCCCGACCAGAGAGCGAGCGCGCGGCAGCGGCGGCGGCAGAAACCCAGGCGCGUCCCAGCCAGGCCUCCAGUGUCCCCGGUCCACAGCGCUCCGCGCCCCUCGUCCGCGCGUGCCCCGCGCCCCGGGUCCCCGCGCCUCCGUCGCCCCUCAGGCCCCCAGCCGCCCGCCAGGCCGCUAGGCCCCAGCCCCCGCGCCCGCCGCCCAGGCCCGGCCCGCUCCUCGCAGGCCGCCCGCCGCCCGCGCCGCCAUGGGGGUAGAGGGCUGCACCAAGUGCAUCAAGUACCUGCUCUUCGUCUUCAAUUUCGUCUUCUGGCUGGCUGGAGGCGUGAUCCUGGGCGUGGCCCUGUGGCUUCGCCACGACCCCCAGACUACCAGCCUCCUCUACCUGGAGCUCGGAGACAAGCCCGCACCCAAUACCUUCUAUGUGGGCAUCUACAUCCUCAUCGCUGUGGGUGCUGUGAUGAUGUUUGUGGGGUUCCUGGGCUGCUACGGGGCCAUCCAGGAGUCACAGUGCUUGCUGGGGACGUUCUUCACCUGCCUCGUGAUCCUCUUUGCCUGUGAGGUGGCCGCCGGCAUCUGGGGUUUCGUCAACAAGGACCAGAUCGCCAAGGACGUGAAGCAGUUCUACGACCAGGCCUUGCAGCAGGCCAUAGUGGACGACGACGCCAACAACGCCAAGGCCGUGGUGAAGACUUUCCACGAGACGCUCAACUGCUGCGGCUCCAACACGCUGACCACGCUGACCACCUCUGUGCUCAAGAACAGCCUGUGCCCCUCGGGUGGCAACAUCAUCAGCAACUUGAUGAAGGUACGGGGUGCUGGGGGCGGGGGGGUGGCACCUGCGGGCCAUCGGGCUGCCAUCCCCAGUGGGUCCUGGGUGGUGGCAGGGCCUUUCAGGGCGCCCGCUGGCAAGGACUGGGGGGCAGCGUGGGUGGAGUCGGGACUGCUCUGCUGCCGCCGGCCAUCGGGGAGGUGAGUCUCUGGCCCAGGUUCCUGGUGAGGGAGUUCCCCAAACUGCACGGAGGGCGCCCCGACCGCCUGCGCCCGCCCUGUCCCUGUGCACUUCGCCAUCUCUGGGCGCCAGAGGGCACACACUCGCCAUCUCCCUGUUCGCGUAAAGGGACGUGAGUCAAAACCCGGGGCAGGCCAGGUCCUGUUCACACGUCUUCUGAGGGGCCUGGGCCCCUCUGUCUCUUGCUGCAAUGGCCCUGGGCCGGGGCACGGCCGGGGGCCUGAGGUCGGGCGCCGCUGACGGCGCGCUGCCCCCCCAGGAGGACUGCCACAGCAAGAUUGACGAGCUCUUCUCGGGGAAGCUGUACCUCAUUGGCAUCGCAGCCAUUGUGGUCGCUGUGAUCAUGAUCUUCGAGAUGAUCCUGAGCAUGGUACUGUGCUGUGGCAUCCGGAACAGCUCGGUGUACUGAGGCCCCGGCCACCGAGGCCGCAGGGGGGCCGCCGCCCCCCGCGGUGCCCCCAGAGUGACCGGAUACUUCUGAGAAGGGCGGUCAGCACCUGUGUAUAUAACUUCCUGAUAUCACCGCUACACUGAUCAGCCUUUACUUUUGAGGUCUUGUUCCUGUCCUCAAGCUCCCUGUUACUUUUGGGGCCGCCGUCACCCGUAGGUGGCAUGUGAGUGGGCCGUGGGGACUCUAGGGCAGGGGCCCCCUCUGCUUCCGGGGCUGCUUGGGGCCUCUGCCUGCUCAGCCAGGCCUCUCCCGGGGGCCACGAGGGCCCUACGGCCCAGCUGCGUCCUCCCACCCAGCCGACCCCGUGGGCUGCGCGCUCGCCCAGCCCUUUUUAAUCCUUGUUUCUUUCCGGCCGCCUGUCCUGAGAGCCGGGUCUCCGAGCAGCCUUACGCCUCUGAUGCACCUCUCCUUUCUAACGCGUCACUUUCGACUGUAAUUACAUCCUCAAAGUCAUUCAAUAAAGAAAGAAGAAACAGGCAUGCUAA